rnacentral:rRNA from 1 species
UCUUUAUGGGGUGACUGCGUACCUUUUGUAUAAUGGGUCAGCGACUUAUAUUCUGUAGCAAGGUUAACCGAAUAGGGGAGCCGAAGGGAAACCGAGUCUUAACUGGGCGUUAAGUUGCAGGGUAUAGACCCGAAACCCGGUGAUCUAGCCAUGGGCAGGUUGAAGGUUGGGUAACACUAACUGGAGGACCGAACCGACUAAUGUUGAAAAAUUAGCGGAUGACUUGUGGCUGGGGGUGAAAGGCCAAUCAAACCGGGAGAUAGCUGGUUCUCCCCGAAAGCUAUUUAGGUAGCGCCUCGUGAAUUCAUCUCCGGGGGUAGAGCACUGUUUCGGCAAGGGGGUCAUCCCGACUUACCAACCCGAUGCAAACUGCGAAUACCGGAGAAUGUUAUCACGGGAGACACACGGCGGGUGCUAACGUCCGUCGUGAAGAGGGAAACAACCCAGACCGCCAGCUAAGGUCCCAAAGUCAUGGUUAAGUGGGAAACGAUGUGGGAAGGCCCAGACAGCCAGGAUGUUGGCUUAGAAGCAGCCAUCAUUUAAAGAAAGCGUAAUAGCUCACUGGUCGAGUCGGCCUGCGCGGAAGAUGUAACGGGGCUAAACCAUGCACCGAAGCUGCGGCAGCGACACUAUGUGUUGUUGGGUAGGGGAGCGUUCUGUAAGCCUGUGAAGGUGUACUGUGAGGUAUGCUGGAGGUAUCAGAAGUGCGAAUGCUGACAUAAGUAACGAUAAAGCGGGUGAAAAGCCCGCUCGCCGGAAGACCAAGGGUUCCUGUCCAACGUUAAUCGGGGCAGGGUGAGUCGACCCCUAAGGCGAGGCCGAAAGGCGUAGUCGAUGGGAAACAGGUUAAUAUUCCUGUACUUGGUGUUACUGCGAAGGGGGGACGGAGAAGGCUAUGUUGGCCGGGCGACGGUUGUCCCGGUUUAAGCGUGUAGGCUGAUUUUCCAGGCAAAUCCGGAAAAUCAAGGCUGAGGCGUGAUGACGAGGCACUACGGUGCUGAAGCAACAAAUGCCCUGCUUCCAGGAAAAGCCUCUAAGCAUCAGGUAACAUCAAAUCGUACCCCAAACCGACACAGGUGGUCAGGUAGAGAAUACCAAGGCGCUUGAGAGAACUCGGGUGAAGGAACUAGGCAAAAUGGUGCCGUAACUUCGGGAGAAGGCACGCUGAUAUGUAGGUGAAGCGACUUGCUCGUGGAGCUGAAAUCAGUCGAAGAUACCAGCUGGCUGCAACUGUUUAUUAAAAACACAGCACUGUGCAAACACGAAAGUGGACGUAUACGGUGUGACGCCUGCCCGGUGCCGGAAGGUUAAUUGAUGGGGUUAGCGGUAACGCGAAGCUCUUGAUCGAAGCCCCGGUAAACGGCGGCCGUAACUAUAACGGUCCUAAGGUAGCGAAAUUCCUUGUCGGGUAAGUUCCGACCUGCACGAAUGGCGUAAUGAUGGCCAGGCUGUCUCCACCCGAGACUCAGUGAAAUUGAACUCGCUGUGAAGAUGCAGUGUACCCGCGGCAAGACGGAAAGACCCCGUGAACCUUUACUAUAGCUUGACACUGAACAUUGAGCCUUGAUGUGUAGGAUAGGUGGGAGGCUUUGAAGUGUGGACGCCAGUCUGCAUGGAGCCGACCUUGAAAUACCACCCUUUA